UUUUAGUCAAGAGAUGGUCUGAUUAGAAUGUCUCCUCCCCAGAGAGGUAAAUUUGGUUCGAAUAAUUAUUUUUGAUGAGAAAAAGUGCAUUGUAAAAGAGAGAAGGUUUGGCUGAGCCUUCCCUUCUUCCUAAAAAAGAGGUUCUUGCAAAAUGAAUCCUUGUUCGUGUUGCCAACACUAUACUCAAGGUGACUGGAUGACUCCAGUUUUGCUCCUGAUACUUUUCAAGGUUGGGGGUGGGGGGGUAAAGAAUAUCUUUUAAGACCCCUUUUUUCAGCCUCUAAGAGGGGACUAAAAUUAAGCUUAUGUUUAGGACACCAGCAAAACAGUUGUUUCUGGAAAGAAUUUGAUUUCAAAAAAUGUUCCAUACAGCCAACGAGGAAAAACAGAACUUGGUUGGACUUCCUUACACUUGCUUAUUUUAUGGCUCAACGUUGUGGGGUUGGUUCGUUGGUUGGUUGGUUGGUGGGUUGGUUUUGUCUCGUUAGUUGCACGUAGUGGUGGUCCAUGGUAUUUUCAAAGUAAAUCUGGCCGUGGUUGCCCAACAGGAAGGGUUGCUCCAACUCUGUUCUUCCUGUUGGACUGCGCUUGAAUUUCGCCAGCCCCAUAGGACUUGCUUACCUCGUUGACAGCCUCCGCAAAUUAACAGCCACUUCUGGAAGAAAUGUUCAAUAGUUUGCCUGGUUUAUCUUCCCUAGUCAGGUGUGGUUUUCAUCCUGUGGUUUAAUUCCAGCUACGUGGCUGAGUUUGGCAGUCAGAAUCCUUCAGCUUUGCAGAAAGCUUUUGAGACUAUUCAGCUAAAGAUAGCAGUGAUGGACGCAAGAGUGAACAUUUCUGCCUUCUCAAUCUUUUGGAACUUUUACCUGUGGCUUUUAUUAUCUUACAAGCACUAAUUAUAUAAAGAGGAAAAAAGAACACAGAGGUUAGAUGGCUUGCCUAACAUUAUAUGAAAAGAGCUUGUUCCUGAAUCAUGGUUUUGACUCUAACUAUUUUUAUAAAGGCUAUACACAGCAAGUUCUUCACCUUUGAAAGCUGUCUUUUUGGUCUCUCUUUUUAACUCCUCCAAAAAUUGAACAUAGAAAGUAUUUCCAGAUGGUUAAAUGGGACGGUCGUGAGGCGUCUCUUGCCUGGCCAGGGAUGUAUUUUAUUUAAAAAAUAGACACCCCCGAGAUUUUAUUUUGCUAAGCAUUUAUGAUUUGCCUUUGUAUUUCUUUAACUGAGACCCAGUGUGCUUUCCUGUGGCUUUGUUACCAAUUUCACUCAAGCCUAGUGCAGUAUCAUAAAAUGAGUAUAGUUGAAGAAAUAUUCUUGCCUCUAAAUCAGCCUUCUCUAAGUUCUGAGAUUGUCCAGAGCUCACUGUAGAAUGUGAAGUUGCUUUGCAAACACUGCAAAUGAAAAUUCUGUGGUGCUUGGGAUCUCGGGAGAAAGCAUUGCCUCUCAAAGGGAAGUGAAAUCCUUAAAAGAAUUGACCACAUCCUUGUUUAUCAUCAGUCUGGACUACUGGCCAACUUAGCAACAAAGGACUACAGUUAGCAAACCAAAGCUUUAAUACUUCCUUUCUUCUUGUUUGCAAAGAGCAAGUGAUUGGCUUUUCAGGGCUUUUCGGCCAAAUUGUGGUUUCAUUAAACAAUUGGCCUGAGCCCUGAACCAGAUCUGGAAGAGGAAUCCAUACAGUUUUCUAAAGGCAUGAGAGAAGGCUGAGCACACUUUCCUAAUUCAUCGUGUAUGACAUUAGAUUUUGCAAAUAAUCUGCUCACACAUCAUCACCCUUGACUCAAGCAUGGUCCUCUCAGGUGGACAGGAUUUUAUGUUACUUCCAUUUUGCACAGGUAGCACAAAUAAUCUUGGAAGCGUUGGAGUGACUUGUUCAGGUGACUUUGCCCGAACCCUGCCCCAAACCUGCUUUUCGUUGUGUGAUGAAACUAGGGAGUCCUUUGACUACUCAUCAGCCUUCCCCCUGAUGAAUCAGUCAGGAAAAAAGGAACAUUUGUACUGUCAUGACAUUUAUCCAGUCCAAGUCUCCAUGUCUCUCCAAAGUUAGAUGAUAGUGGGACGUCCAUCUGGGCAUUUGGUGAGUUAGUCUGUUCUCUCUCAGAAGUUAGAGGGCCACAGGCAGCUGCCCUCCCUACAAGCACAGGAUCUCACUAAUCACCCUAGGGGUGAUUGUCCUUGAAAACCAAGUUGUGGCCUCGGAAGACGUAUCCAGGGACCCAUUGUGAUUUGACUUUGCGUGUGUUUAUUUUCAAAUUGUCAUAGACCAAAAUAAUUCUUCCCAGCAUCCCUCUGGUGGGAAUAAUCACCCAUUUUGUGUCCAUGGUGUCUGUUUCCCUUAAAGAUUGGAAGUCUUUAGCUGUCAGGGGCUGUGUUACUAUGCGCUCAACACUUCACUUGCACUGCCUCAUGGACUCGUCAUAGGAACUCAGUAAGGCGACUGCCGUGUUCCCACUUUAGGGAUGAGAAGGUAAAAUACAGGGCUCGGUGUGGCUGUGGGGUAGGGCUUGCCGACCUCCGGAUGCUGGCAGCCUUCGCGGCCUCUCUGGUCUGGUAGCCCCAGCACGCUGCACACCGCCUAGCACACAGAAGGCCCUCAGGAAGUGGUUUUUGAGUGUGUGAGUGAAUAGAUUUAUUAACAAGAAGACAUUUUAAGUGUUGUAACCUAAUUCUGAGAUUACCAUCUUAAUUGGCUUCCAUGUUCCUGGCACAUCCUUGGGGAGUGAGUAUUAAAGAGGAAAUAUCAUUUCAUUGGAAAGGUAUCCAGUGAAAACCCACCAUUUUUAUUCAUUUCAAAGCAGUGCCAGGCAGAGAGGGCACUCUCGACCUGAUCCUGCUGAGAUAGUGGGUGACUGUCAUUUCUGACCCGAACACUCCCACCACGGGCUUGACAAGGGUAGCAGGACGGAGGUGGCCCACGAGCUCCACUGCCCCACCCUGGACACAGUGCUGGGGCCCAUGCCCAUCUUCAAAGGCUUUCAUUAGUCCAAGAAGUGUAGCUAAAAAGCUUAGUGUGGCAUUUAAAUAAUGCUGGCUUUAUCCUUGAAAGCCAAAGUGGUGAUUGUCCAAUAAGAAUGCACUUGUCAGGGGCGCCUGGGUGGCUCAGUCGGUUGAGCGUCUGACUUUGGCUCAGGUCAUGAUCUCACAGCUUGUGAGUUCGAGCCCCACGUCAGGCUCUAUGCUGACAGCUCAGGGCCUGGAGCCUGCUUCAGAUUCUGUGUCCCCCUCUCUCUCCGCCCCAACCCACUCGCAUUCUGUCUCUGUCUCUCUCAAAAAUGAAUAAGCAUUAAAAAAAAAAAAAUUAAAAAAAAAAAGAAUGCACUUGUCAGGAUCAGGACUGUGAGCCAGGAGAUACACCUGAAGUAAUAAUAACCUGGAGAGGAGGCUUCUCGGUGCCAUGUGUGUGUGUGACCUCAGGAAUCCUGCAGAAUUUACUGUGAGCAGUAGGGGAGAUGCUCAGAGAACAUUGACAUCAGAAUGGGUCAUCUGGGUUCAUCUCUUCUAGCCACUUAGGAUUUUUUUUAAGUUUAUUUAUUACUUUUUUAGUGAUCUCUAUGCCCAAUAUGGGGGCUUAAACCCAUGACUCUGAGAUCAAGAGUCACACACUCCUCUGACUGAGUCAGCCAGGGUGUCCCCACCCUCUUAGUUUUAUAAAUGAGGCGAGUGGUUGGGGGACCAGGCCUUUCUCAUCCUUAAAUAUGAGUUUGCAGGUGCCAUUCUACUUAGUAACUUUUACCCAGAGGGAGAUUUCUUGCCUCUGUACACGCGUGUGUCCGCACAUGCACGCAAACCUUCCCACACUUACAGCCCCAAUCCCUUUAUAGUCAUGUGCUCAGAAAAAUGUUCUCUUGUCCACAUCCUUGGAAACAGGUCUGUUGCCAUAGGCAAAUAAAGUGAAUAAAGUCAUUGCCAGGGCACUGUGUAAUAGAUUCAGUGAGCUAGAUAUCCUUAACCUCUUUGUCUCUGGUUGUUGUUUUUCUUUAUUUUUUAUGAAAAGAAAAUUUUUUUAAGUUUGUUUAUUUUGAGAGAGAGAGUGCACGCGCUCAUGCGAGCAGGGGAGGGGCAGAGAGAGAACGAGAGAGAGAAUCGCAUGCAGGCUCCACACUGUCAGCAUGGAGCCUGAUGCGGGGCUCGAACUCAUGAACCACGAGAUAAUGACCUGAGCUGAAAUCAAGAGUCAGACGCUUAACCACCUGAGCCACCCAGGUGCCCCUCUUUCUGUCUGGGUUUUGGGUGCUCAGUCCAUGGUCUUCCUUGUGUCUACUCACCCAGCAGGUGCAAGGUCAUCCUUAGGCCUGUUAACUCGUGAAAAAUGCUAAUUCUUUGUAUUUUACAGAUAUUUGUUCUGAUGACAUCUUUCUAGUAUAUACACAUUUCCACAUUUUUCAAGCAGAGAGGGAAGUGUUUGGUCUUUUCUCAAAUGGAAGGGGAAAGUGGUGGUUCUUCCUGGAAUCUCUUGGUCAGCGUUUCCCAGUCCCAGCUCAACUGGAUUUGGCAAGAUAAGGGAGAAGGCAGAUGUUUGCCCCUCCUAAACACUGGGGUAGCCAUGCCGACCUGAGUGCACAUUGGAAACUCCCAGGGGUGACCAGUGCCUGCACCCCUCCCCCAGAGGUUCUUACUUCAUCAGUCUGGGAAAUAGCCCGUGUGUUAUUAGGGUUUUUACAAGCUUCGUAGACGAUUCUCAUGUGCAGGCGUGGCUGCCGAAGCCCUGGUGGAAAGCAAAGUUGAGUAAGCAGGCCGUCUGAAUUUGUAGGUACGAAGGCUAUCUGCUGUUUUCCCGUCUUAUAAAUGCAAAACCAGUACCUUCUUUGCCUUUCUGUCUGCUUUGCUGGAAGAAUGUGUCCUGAUUUAAAACAGAUUCGACUUAAAACACAAAGCCUCGGCCAGAGAGAGUCAGCCAGCUUGUUUUCCCGCCCAGCUGCUCCCUCCCUCAUCCAGCAGAGAGGAAGAGGAAGAGGAAGAGGAAGGGGCUCCUGGCUGGCCCAGUCAGCACCGUGCGACCCUUCAUCUCGGGGUUGUGAGUUCCAGCCCCACGUUGGGUGUAGAGGUCACUUAAAAAUAAAGUCUUCAAAAAAAGAGAGAAAGAGGAAGAAGCUGUCAUUUGGAAGCACCCGUUUCUGGGCAGCUGGAGAGGAGGACUGGGCACCCACGGUAACUACAUAGUUUCACCAGGUCACGAGCAGCUAAUUUCCUCUGCCUCUUCCACUUCUUUGAAAGGUUUCUACCGGUGAGAAAGCAAAUUUUACUUAAAU